AGAGGAAGGUCCCCCACAUUGGAACUGAGACACGGUCCAAACUCUACGGGAGGCAGCUAGUGAGGAAUAUUGGUCAAUGGGCGAGAGCCUGAACCAGCCAAGUAGCGUGAAGGAUGACUGCCCUAUGGGUUGUAAACUUCUAUUAUAAAGGAAUUAAAGUCGGGUAUGGAUACCCCGUUUGCAUGUACUUUAUGAAUAAGGAUCGGCU
rnacentral:rRNA from 1 species